CUAUAAGACGUGAGGCUUGUACUAACAAACACCAGUGUGUUUUUCAUCUGGGUCAAGAGGACGCAGGCUUCCCACCUCCAAGUGGAGCUUGUAGACCCCACAUCAGUUGGACCUGAAAGUUGAUGAUGUGGACUCCUAUUUACCUCAGCACCAACCCACUGGAAGAAUGUCUACAUUGGCUACAAUGUCUACAGUCCAUGGAGUCACAGAGUCAGACAUGACUGAUCGACUAAGCACCUUAGCACGUUCUAAAAGGGCUUCCCUGGUGGCUCAGCAGUAAAGAAUCUGCCUGCAAUGCCCGAGACCCGGCUUCGAUCCCUGGGUUGAGAAGAUCCCCUAGAGGAGGGCAUGGCAACCGACUCCAAUACUCUGGCCUAGAGAAUCCCAUGGGCAGAGGCACCUGGCCGACUGUAGCCCAUAGGAUCACACAGAGUUGGACACGACUGAAGCAACUAAGCAGCAGCAGAAGGCCAAGGCUUCAGAGAGAAAUACUUAAUAAUUAGUAUGUUAAAUUUCAUGGGAUUUCUAAAAAUCUGGUAUGCCCCAGUAAAAUGUUAUCUCAUUGUUUUCUAGUUGUUUUAAAAUGUUGCAUGUCAUAAUAACUCAGUUUAUUUUGUCAAUCCCAUUGUGGCCAAAUGUUUAUGACUUUUUAAAUUCCUUUUUAAAGUCUUUCUGUGAUUUAUAGAUGGCUAUUGUUGUAUUCAUGUAUAUUCAUGUAUGGACAUGAAUUUGAGCAAACUCCAGGAGAUAGUGGAGGACAGAGGAGCCUGGCAUGUUGAAGGCCAUGGGGUCGAAACAAGCUGGACGUAACUCAGGGACUGAACAACAACAACACUGUUGUAGUCUGUUAAAUCUCAGGUUAUACUGGGGAACUAGGUAAGGAAGAAAGUCCUAAGGGAAAGCCUGAUCGCUUCAUACAAAGUUAAAAACAGGAUUGGUUACUAAAUGGACUGUAAAUUAUGGUGAUAAAUUUAUGGGUUUUAUCUGAAAUGUCACUGAUUUUAACUCAUGUUUUCCAG
ensembl:lncRNA